UUUCUUCUCUCCAUUGAAGGACACAACCUGAUUACACGAGGGUUGCUAAAUUAAUGUUUGCUAUUUAUUUGUAUUAGUUGAGAUAAUUGAUAUAAUUUCGAAUGACUAAUAUACUUUGAACUCACUGUUCGUAUAGAUCCAAUUGUCUGUUCAACUGUGUCUGCAGCAUCACUAUACGAUGUUAGUCGCUUGCUAGAAACCCGGGUUAGCAGCUGUGCAGACACUGCACCAGCGAUAGCAACUAAUGGUAGUGACGUUAGCAUGACAAGAGUCAGGAGCCAGCCUUUUGUGAAUGCUAUGAUAAGACCCCCAAAGAAGGCAGAUAUGGCUUGUACAAGCUUCCCUCCCUGUAAAUCAGAAUGCAGGAAUGUCAGCACUUGUAGCACUGGAUAGGCUGCAUAGAAUGUAUGAAAUAUGAAAUACACUUAGGUGAGUAACACAAAAGUUUAUGUAGUAGCAAGAAAUAUUGAUGCUUGUCAUUGACUUGCACCUGCAGAUCUGCGCACACUUGCAGUGUGAUGAAAAAUAUUAUGUUUCCUUAUUUCGUAGUACUACAGAGGAAGUAUUACCUUCUCACCAAGAGCAUCUUGAAUUAUGACCGUAUCGCUAGACAUUCUAGAAACUGCUUCACCAGUUGUCAUUUCUGUGUCGAAGAAUGCAAUAUCUUGCCUCAGAACUGAUUUCAGGUACAAAGAACGGAUGCGGGCUGACUGCCUUUCUCCUGACAUUGUCCAGCAUGACAUCUCUGGAAGAUAAUGAAGGGAAACAUGUAUUGCAAGAAUAGAAUGGGAACCGCACUUACGAAGAAAGGAAGCAACUGCUAUCCCAAUGCCCAAAUAUACGAAGUUGAGAACAACCUGGAGAUCAAAAGAACAUUCUCUGUUAACUCGUCUAGCCAAUCUUCAGGCUAAGUGAUCUGAUCACCGUAAGCUGGGGCGCACCUUGGUGACAGCGGGGAGGACGGUGCUGGUGGUGCUCUCGCCGAAGGAGUUGAUGGCGUCUCCAAAGACGACCAACAUGAGGGACCCCGCCACGCCGUUGCCCACCGCCCCCAGCGAGCCAACCACCAUGAGCAGCACGUCGAGGCUGUCGGCGUACCUGAACAUGCCGAGCAACGACACCUUCUUCUCCGGCUGUUCACCUUUUUCUUGCUCGCCGCCGUGGCGUGCUCCUUCUCCGCUGCGAGCUUCUGCUGUCGCGUCCAUUUCCUGGCAGCUACAGCUUGCGUUGCUGGUGUGCUCGACGAGCCCAGGCCUGCACCGUGCCGUGUGUAGUUCCUGUCCCCGGGGGUGGAGGAGGCACUGUGUAUAAGCAUUUCGCCGGCCGCCCAGAGCCCAAGACAGAGUGCUUUGACUGUUCUUGGGCUGGUUGGGUGCUCCGAAGCAGAGGAAGGGCCCGGGAAAGUUUGCGAUGGAAAAGUACUUUUGUGCGCACGGAUUUAUGGAUUUUUGUAUGUGGGUUUGCACGGAUUUAUCGUUGGCAUGUGGUGAUUUGCUGCGACAAUUCAAGAUUCACAGCCUACUUUUGUGCGCAGCGUCAGCGUAGUCACUAGUUGGUCAAAUGGAUUGACCAGUAUU